GUGUGAUGAAACUUUUUGUCACGCCUGGAGGAAACCAAGCACUGCUCAUCAUCUGCCCAAUACCAUUCCUACAGUAAAGCAUGGUGGUGGCAGCAUCAUGGUGUGGGGGUGUUUUCCAGCGGUUGGGAAAGGGAG